UCCCCUGAGGCUGAUCAAUCACACAAAGCUGGUUGAAGUUUCUGAGUUUGUGUGACCAUAGGGGGAUGAGGAGAGGAGGUUGAGGGAGCUGGCAAGCCCCAAAGGUCACAUAGGCCUGAGCCUCACAAAACGUCAGGAAAUGAAGCUGAGCCACAGAACCAACACAGAGGGACGGACGGCCUGGGGCUAUUGAGGAAAAAUAGGGAGUAGCUGGCUGAAGCCCAGAUCCUGGCCUCUCUGCAUAGCCCUAGGCUUUGGCCUUUUCCUGUCUGAGCACUUUUGGCUGACCUGCCUCCAAGCUGGACCACCACUGGCCAGCUCUCAUGAGCUCCAGGAGUUGUAUGCUGUGACUAUCCAGGAGCAAGCCUGCUCCGCGGUGGAGACGUUCAGACCCAGAAAAGCUCUGGGGAGAAUUAGUAGCAAUACUGUGAGGACACAUUCUGAGGUUGUAUCCUCAGCCUGGGAAGCAGGGCUGAGGGGACAGCUGUAGAUGAGCAGUCAGCAUUGCAGCUUCAUCAGCUAAAAGUGAUUUCACACAAAAUAAUGUGUCAGAGAUAAUUGCUCCUGGGAACAGAUCCCAAUUCCAGCCCGCAAUCAAAGAGCAGGUCAUGGCUGCCACUGGGUUUGCACCCACCUGAGGUCAGGAUGAAGGUUCCGGAAGCAGAGAGACAGGUCCUGCUGCUACAAUCCUCCCCUGCACUAAAGGGCUUCCUCAAGAAAGGUCUCUGAGUGCAGAAAGGGCUUGAGACAUAAGGAAACCUGUACCUGGUAACAGAAAACAAAUGUGAGAGCUGGGUGUGGUGCACACCUGUAAUCCCAGUACUGGAGCGGCAGAAACAGCAGGAGAAUCCAAAGCUCAAGGGCACCCAUCCAUCACUGCCCACAUAAGGAUAUGGCCAGGAUAGGUUACCGAGAGGGAAGAGAAACAAGGCAGGGAAGGGAGGAGGAAAUUCGGGGGUGGGUGGCUUAAAUGGUAGGAGGAUGUCCCCCACUAUAAUCAAGAGUGUGAAGGCAGAAAGGUCUGGGCUUCUGCAGCAGCAAUUCUGAUAUUUGACAGGUGUACAUUUGUACCCCAGGCUGGCCUGGAACUCCCUAAGUGGCUGAGGGUGACCUUGAACUUCUGAUCCUACUGCCUUCAUCUUCCCAGUGCUGGGAUUAAAGUUGUGUUCCCCAUGCUAGGUGGUGCUGCGCUGGGGACCAAGCACAGCGUUGUAUCCUGGGCAAGUGUCCUAACAAGUGAGCUACCACCUCAGCUCUGUCGUGUUUAGUUGUUUUUUAAUAUUUAUUUUUAUUUUAUGCAUAUGUGUGUGUGCUCAAGUACAUGUAUGUGCACAUAUGUGUUCAGGAGCCCUCAGAGUUCAGAAGAGGCAGGGAUCCUCCUAGAACUGGAGUUACGGAGGGUUGUGAGCCACCUGUGGGUCCUAAGGGACAGAGCCUGGGUCCUCCAGAAUCUCUGUGUAGCCUCGGUUGUCCUGGAACUCCAUCUGUAGACCAGGCUGGCAGUGAACCCACAGCAAUCUGCGUGUCUCUGUCUCCCAAGUGCUGGGAUUAAAAGUGUGUGCCACCACUGCCUGGCUCUUUUGUUUUGUUUUGUUUCUGAGGCAGGGUCUCUCUUUGUAGCCCUGCCUGGCCUGGAACAACCCGGACUGGCCUUGACCUCAGAGAGAUCUUCCUGCCCCUGCCUCCUGCUAGGAGUGCUAGCUCAAAAGUGUGUGCCGCCACGCCUGGCCAAAAGCCAAUUCCAGAAAGUCAGUUCUCUCCUUCCACAGAGGUCACUAGAGAUUUAACUCAGGGAGUCAGAC
rnacentral:lncRNA from 1 species